AGAGUUUGAUCCUGGCUCAGGAUGAACGCUGGCGGCGUGCCUAAUACAUGCAAGUCGAACGGAGCAGCAAUGCUUAGUGGCGACCGGGUGCGUAACACGUAGUCGACCUGCCCGCGCGCGGGGGAUAACAGUCCGAAAGGGCUGCUAAUACCGCAUACAUUCGAGGUUUCCAGAAAGCCUUGAAGAAACUUCCGGGGCGCGCGGAGGGGGCUGCGGCCCAUCAGGUAGUUGGUGCGGUAACGGCGCACCAAGCCAACGACGGGUAGGGGGCCUGAGAGGGUUACCCCCCACACUGGGACAGACACACGGCCCAGACUCCUACGGGAGGCAGCAGUAAGGGAUAUUGCGCAAUGGGCGAAAGCCUGACGCAGCAACGCCGCGUGGAGGAUGAAGGCUUUCGGGUUGUAAACUUCUUUUAUCAGGGACGAGCAAGGACGGUACCUGAUGAAUCAGUCUCGGCUAACUACGUGCCAGCAGCCGCGGUAAAACGUAGGAGGCGAGCGUUAUCCGGAUUUACUGGGCUUAAAGGGUGUGCAGGCGGGUUGGUAAGUGGUGCAUGAAAGCCGCGCGCUCAACGUGCGGAGGCUGUGCCAGACUGCCAGUCUAGAGGGUGCUAGAGGGACGUGGAAUUCCGGGUGUAGUGGUGAAAUGCGUAGAGAUCCGGAGGAACACCAGAGGCGAAGGUGACGUCCUGGGGCAUACCUGACGCUCAGACACGACAGCAUGGGGAGCGAACGGGAUUAGAAACCCCGGUAGUCCAUGCCGUAAACGAUGGAUGCGAGGCGCUAGGCGGUUAAGCCCGCUUGGUGUCGGAGGGAAACCGGUAAGCAUCCCGCCUGGGGAGUACGGUCGCAAGGCUAAAACUCAAAGGAAUUGACGGGGGCCCGCACAAGCAGCGGAGCGUGUGGUUUAAUUCGAGGCUACACGAAGAACCUUACCUGGGUUUGACAUGGGCGUAGUAAAAGGCGGAAACGCCGAUGACCUUCGGGAGCGUCCACAGGUGCUGCAUGGCUGUCGUCAGCUCGUGCCGUGAGGUGUUAGGUUAAGUCCUGUAACGAGCGCAACCCUCGGGGCUAGUUAGAAAGUCUAGUCCGACUGCCCGUGACAAGCGGGAGGAAGGUGGGGAUGACGUCAAGUCAGCAUGGCCUUUAUAUCCAGGGGGACACACACGCUACAAUGGUCGGUACAAUGGGUCGCCAAGCAGCAAUGCGGAGCCAAUCCAACAAAGCCGGCCUCAGUUCAGAUUGUGGGCUGCAACUCGCCCACAUGAAGUCGGAGUUGCUAGUAACCGCGCGUCAGCAUAGUGCGGUGAAUAUGUUCCCGGGCCUUGUACACACCGCCCGUCACGUCAUGGGAGCUGGUCACGCCUGAAGUCGCUCAGCUAACCGCAAGGAGGCGAGCGCCCAAGGCAGGGCUGGUGACUGGGACGAAGUCGUAACAAGGUAACC
rnacentral:rRNA from 1 species